rnacentral:rRNA from 1 species
GUAGUCUCGCACAGAUGCAUAUCAAUAAGCGGAGGAAAAGAAACUAACAAGGAUUCCCCUAGUAACGGCGAGUGAAGCGGGAAGAGCUCAAAUUUGAAAUCUUAAAGGGUUUCCCUUUACGAAUUGUAGUUUAAAGAAGUGUUUUCUGUUAAGGUUUUGGUAAAAGUUCUUUGGAAUAGGACAUCAUAGAGGGUGAGAAUCCCGUAUUUGACCUUUACUUUCAACUUUGUGAUACACUUUCAAAGAGUCGGAUUGUUUGGGAAUGCAGUCCAAAAUGGGUGGUAAAUUUCAUCUAAAGCUAAAUAUUGGCGAGAGACCGAUAGCGAACAAGUACCGUGAGGGAAAGAUGAAAAGAACUUUGAAAAGAGAGUUAAACAGUACGUGAAAUUGUCAAAGGGAAGCGUUUGACACCAGUGUUGUUUUUCUGAAAAUCAAUUAAAGAACUGUUUAUGCUAAGCUGUUUAGACUUUAUCAGCUAACUGUUUAGUUUUGAGCUUUUCUUUAAUGCACUUUUCAGUUAACAAGUCAACAUCAAUUUCUUUUGCUGUAAAAAAGCUUGAGGAAGGUGGCUUGAGAUUCGUCUUAAGUGUUUAUAGCCUCUUGCCUAUGCAGUCGGAGAGAUCGAGGUCUGCAGCGUAGAUCCUUCGGGGCUAAAUGCAUUUGUGCUAAGUUAUAGCAUUUUAUAGACAACUUGUUGACUAUGAUUUGUCUUGUAGCUUACUCGCUUAUGUUAUUUUACCUACGCUUAGGAUGUUGAAGACUCUACAGAGAU